CGCGUAAGAAAAUAAGAGAAGAAAAAUAUAAAAAGAAGAACAACGAGUAGCAGAACAGUUUGAGCGAACAAAAGCAGCCAGUUGCUUUCCUCGCGGCGGGAUCCCGUUAAGACAGCCGGAUGCGGCUUGUUUUCGCGACGUUUUCGCGGCGCCGCUGGCCGCGCCGAAAGUGCAGAAAACCGUGGCCGCGCGAAAAUAGCGGUAACUCGGUAUAAUGCGAUGCAGUAGCGGAUACGUUGUUACAGUAAUGCGUUCGUAUCGCGCGCAUCUACGCACAUGCGUGUCACGCGCGUCUCUUCUCUCCCUGAAGCUAGAACAAUAGGUUCCCGCGACUGAAGGAACGAGCCCCGUACCGUCAUCCCAGCGUCCGUCGUUUACUUGAUGGCUUUGUGGGUUACAAGUGCAAUUAAACUUCAGAAGCCUUACCAGCGGAAUUAAUCUAACCUAACGUUGCUACAGAAUAAAAGAAAACAACAAAGAGUUUACGAACUGAAAUGGUAAACAAUAUGGCGAAAAAAAUGUUUUAAGCUAUUCUUUUGAUGGGGAAGAAUAUAAAUCCUUUUACCCCUAAUAAUAUUUUCAUCGUAUUCGCGUAGAAUAUAGGCGUUCUUCGUGCAGAAGAAACACAUUCUUUUACCAUUUAUUCUCUCUCUAAAUCUGUACAGGUGGUAAAAAAUGGAUGUCCAUAACGAUACAAUAAUAAAUAAUGUAAAUGACAUAAAUAACAGAAAUCUUUAGCUCUGUCAAUUGCAUCGUUCGCUAUCUCAACCCCUCAAUUGCAAUUAAACCGAUUAAUUAGCAGAAAAUACCCAAAGUAAAAUAAAGGUCCAAUGCACUUCUUCUUAUAUACGCACGAAAGAAACAAUUAACAAACGCGUAUCAAACUCACUAAUCUUGUAUUUCUCACGUCAUACGAAGACUACUAGAUCACAUCUAAUCCUCAUAAUAACUACUAUGUAAUAUGCUUAAACAUAGAAGUUCAGCCUAUCUUAUUUUCUUCCCAUCGGAUCCAACAAUUUCCAUGCGAAUAUAGCGAACCUCAUGGAAAAACGUGAGGCACGAAAGAAAUAUCUUUCAAGUGUCCCGCGAAUUAGUAUCGGGGCAGUGGCCACGUAGAGAGCAAGCAAGUUCACAGCUCGCAACCGGAAGCACGGUUCAAGUGUUACUUAUAUCCCUUAUCGGGACGCGGCGGUCGUUGCGACUCCAUGAGACGGUUUGUGGCUCAUUGUCCACGUCCGAAACGGACGGCGCAAGGCCGUAUAAAUAUCGGGCCAAGCGUAUCGCGCAUGCAUAUCGCUAGUUUCCCCGCGGCUACUCUCUCUUUCUCUCCAUCCUCGUUUUCUUGGAGUAAACGUUAGCCGAGGUUACAGACAGUCGAGUAGCUGCUACCACUACCAUAGACACCGCUACCGACUACCACCAACCGUGUACCAAGUAAUUGGUACAACUGUGCCGGACCUAGACAUGGACAAAGUGGGAAAAAAAGUACCGCUAUUGAUGAGAGAAAUACAUUGAACGUUAAUUCGAAACUGUUACCAACUGAUUUCAAGGAACUGUAGCCUCCGAAUAGAAGGGAACGCGUGUACCAUGCAGGAGCGAGCACUGUAGACAAGUCAUACAAAAUUUCACCAGUCAACGUGUUAAGCCAGGUCCCGCUAAUUUCUCCGCACGCCGGCAUGGCACCCCGCGUUUCUUUCGUUCUCAACGUUAUCAUCAUCGGUCUUUACGAGCGCAUUUGCAUCGGCCCGGAACCGCUUCUGAGUCGAGCACGACUCGCUAAGAAGAACAGGAAGAAGAAGGGGACGUGGAACGUACGAGGGAAACGCGAAAGAAGAGGACGAAAAAGAAACGAAACAAGUGGAGAGCGGGGAAGGGGAGGACGUGCGAACGGCGUUGCUUAAUAACCCGUAUACCGAUUCGCGUAUGCUUGCGAUCGCUCUUCUAUGUAUAUGUGUAUGUGUUGGUGUUCGCGCGCGCAUGUUCACUCACCACGACUUGCAAGACGAGUAAACGCGGUUAUACUAUACGCGUCGCGCUCACCAAGACGUCUGGCGUCGGCGCAUAAUGCGAGCGGCACGUAAUUUCGUCGAUUCUAAUUGCGAUGAGUUACAAUUAGAAAGCGCACUAAUUGAAAGCGUUUCGCAAUGCGCGAUGGCGCAAAAGUUCGCGGAUCUUCGCGAGCCGUGUGAUUUACUGGCUCGACGUGGGAUCCGACAUUCGUUGCGAGGCCGUGCCUUCACUUCGAAACGCUUCGAUUUCGACGUCGAUCGUUCCUUUAUGGAAAAUACUAUCCUACUGAAUUUUAGGUCAUCGAAGAUUCAACUUUUCAAUUUUUUUUCAAGUUCAUAUGACUUCAAAUGGAUGUUAUAUUUCAAUAAAUGGUAUUGAAAUAUAUGAGAUAAUUUUUAAAUAUUUGAUUUUAAUUAACAUUAUAAUUUUACUGUCUCUGUAUGUUCCUCCGUUUUCAUGAGUAUAGUAUUCCAAAAAGGAAAUCCGAAGAGGUAUAAAGACGAAGGAGAAGCGAAGAGAACAGCAGGACUAAAAAGAAGGUUAGGAUUUUAAGUCAUCUAGAAAGUAUGAUUAAUCCUUUAGCUACCAUGCAACUAUAUACAGUGAGUGUCAUUGGUGUAGAACAGUGCAUACGAGCCUGCUAAUCCAUCUCAUAUUUCUAUAAAACAUUUAUAACAGAUUUUGAUAAUAUUUAAUGUAUUACACAUACCCAUUUAUCUAU